rnacentral:rRNA from 1 species
CUACGGGUCGCACCAGUGAGGAAUAUUGCACAAUGGGGGGAACCCUGAUGCAGCAACGCCGCGUGGAGGAUGACGCAUUUCGGUGUGUAAACUCCUUUUAUAUGUCAAGAAAAUGACGGUAGCAUAUGAAUAAGCACCGGCGAACUCCGUGCCAGCAGCCGCGGUAAUACGGAGGGUGCAAGCGUUACUCGGAAUCACUGGGCGUAAAGGACGCGUAGGCGGGUUGGAAAGUCAGGUGUGAAAUCCUACAGCUUAACUGUAGAACUGCACUUGAAACUUCUAAUCUAGAGUAUGGGAGGGGGGGAUGGAAUUAGUGGUGUAGGGGUAAAAUCCGUAGAUAUCACUAGGAAUACCUAAAGCGAAGGCGAUCUCCUGGAACAUUACUGACGCUAAGGCGUGAAAGCGUGGGGAGCAAACAGGAUUAGAUACCCUUGUAGUC